UACAGAGGGUGCGAGCGUUAAUCGGAAUUACUGGGCGUAAAGCGCGCGUAGGCGGCUUCGCAAGUCGGGUGUGAAAUCCCCAGGCUUAACCUGGGAACUGCAUUCGAGACUGCGUUGCUAGAGUAUGGGAGAGGGAAGUGGAAUUUCCGGUGUAGCGGUGAAAUGCGUAGAUAUCGGAAGGAACAUCAGUGGCGAAAGCGACUUCCUGGACCAAUACUGACGCUCAUGUGCGAAAGCGUGGGGAGCAAACAGG
rnacentral:rRNA from 1 species